UCCCACAAGGCACAUGUCAAUGCCAGGAGCUCACUGUGUGAUUGUGGCACUGCCAAAACUCUCCAGAGCCUCCAAACUUUCACAGCUACGAGUCACAUUCUUCCUCCAGCCACUAGGCUUCUGAUUUCUCUCUCCUCCAGCCACACUGUCAAAACUUUCUGCUCCUUGCACUGGUGCAGCUGCAACACAGGUCACAGGUGCCCUGAUGCUGCAGGGAACAGGAUUCCAGGGCUCCCAGUUGGCUGAAUGGGCUGGGACGCAGUCACACCUUAAAGUGACAUUUAGGCAGCAAGCAAACAAAAUUUUGAGUGUCUUCUCCUUGCCACUGUUUAUCUGCAAUGUGCAUUUAGAUUCCAGAGGCUGAGGUGCAAGCAGCAUGCCAUCCUCUCUGUGCAGAGCCCAGUGGAGCGUGCCUGCCUCUUGGUGCCAGUUUCUGGUUUCCACUGACAGCUCUAACAGAGAUUGAAUGCUGUGAUUAUUUCUGAAAUAAUUUGUGAAUCUAGAGUUUAUUUUUAUCCAGCAUGUCUAGGACAGCUCAAGAAUUCAAAAAGCAUUUAGUACCUGAGAAAUGUAAUUUUGAAUCCCCUCUGGGAAAAGAGGGACUAGAGCAUUUCUAUUUCAUUGGUGGGGGAGUCCUGUAAUUAUUUAGCACAAUUUCUGAUUCAAAAGUGUGCUGAAUCCCAGUCUGCUAGAAAGAGGUUCUCCCUUUCAGAGUGGGUUCAGUGCUUUGGAUACCACACAGGUGGAGGUGCCUUCUGCAGGAGCAACACACACCCAGCCUCAGAAGGGGGUGAGGAUAAAGCUCUGCAGACUGUGCUGCUCAUGAGCCCUGUUCUGCCCUCCCAGGCUGCACCUGGAGCCUCCUCCUGGGCUGUGAACUCCUUGGCCAGGGCCAGAUGUCUCAGAGCCAAGCUCACCAGCAUUUAAUUUCCUUAUAACUGUGACUUUGAGCUUGUAUCUUGUUGCACACACACAGUCUGUGCUUGGGCACCUCACAAGGCACCACAAAAGUGCUGCACUGACAGCAACAGUGGUGAGCCUGCUGGUGGGUUCCAUGACUCAAGAACACACACCCCAUGAAAAAAUUAACACAUUAAGUAGGCAAGGUGGCAUAUCAACUUCUAAAGGGGAGUUUGAGAGUAGGAAGUAGUUUGAGUUGCUUGGAAGCAAUGAAAAGUCAGCCAGUUUUGCUCAAUUAUGUGUUUGCUUUAUUGUUAACAGAAAAACCCAUGAACUCAGACCUUGCUUUAGUUGCCAGUGAACAGACAAGCUCAGUAUUAACAUCCACAGCCAGAGGGGAAGAGCAGCUGCCCAGCUGCCUUUUGACAGUACUGUCCCAUUAAAUAAACAAGGAUGCUCACCAUGCUCCCCAGAACCAAGAGAGCAGGAAUGGGUAUGCAUGGCUUGUUUUGUGGGUUUGGAUUGAAUUUUUUGGAGGGCAAGGGGUCUGUAGUCCUUUUUGUGCUCUACGCCACCUAUUUCUCCUGAAGGAGGAAACAGGAGAGUGGAAUUUAGAUUGGAUGUAAACGUCAAAGCUGGUCAGAAGUGUGGGCUCUGCACGUGCCUUGAGGAGAAGCCAGAGAGGGAGAGAGGUUUCUCCUGCAGAAAUGAGUAAAUCUGGGCCAUAAACACCAGAACUUGCCACAGCCUUUCACAGCUGCAGAGUGGCUCUGCAACACCUCUGUCCCCCGCCCCUGUGAUCAUCACACAUCACAGUGAUUCACCAUAGGUGCCUGCCCAGAGAGGGGCUGGGGAGAAGUACCUUGUGAGUAUAUAAUUAAAAGCAAGAGGACUUGGGAAUUCUUGCUGGAUUAUGAGAAAUACAAUAUAAUUGGCAUGACUGAAACCUGGCAGGUUUAUUCGCAUGACUGGAAUGUAAAAAUUGUUACUUAUAAAUUGUUAGGAAGGAAAGAGUGGUAAAAGAAAUGGAGGAGGUAGAGCUCUGUAUUAAAGAUAAAAUUUCCAGUGCUAGAGGAACUGAACCCAGGGGGCUAGGAUAAUCUCCAUCUGAGGAUGUUGAAAUAAUUGGUACAUGAAAAUGCUGGUUAAGAAGAAUCUGUACAUCACUAUUUUAAAGUGGAAAAAAAUUGUACAGGCCACUUGACCCAGGGAUUUUAGGACAGUUAUCUGAGAAGGCACUUAUUGCAUGGCAACAAAUAGGUUUUAUCAAAGGUAUGGGCUUAUUAAAGGUAAAUCAUUUACCAAGAUGAAUCACUUCUCAGACAAGGGUAAUGGAUUAGACCCAGUCUCUGUGGAUUUGCAAAAAAAAAAAACAUUUGGUGGUAUGUCCAAGUGAAAAUUCUUUCCAGAAGAGCUGCAGAGAGUGAAGAGGAUGGUGAGAGCAGAGAGAGAGGCAGGAAGGCUCCACACUGCGGAGCACUGAACAGCCUGAGCUGCAGGCUGGACAGAAAGCCCAGGGCACAGAGAUGUCCCAUUGGUGGGCAUCAAGUGGCAAUGACAGAGCUCAGACAACACACACCACUGAUUGCUUCCAUGAUUCCAGAGCAAAAAGGCACAACAGACAAAAAUAAAUACUCCUUCCUGCAGAACUCCCUGCCAGGGAAUGUUGAGAAGGCCAAAACAGAAUUGCAUGGAUGCAGAGAGCAAACCUCCAUUCCUGUUAUUGACAGGAUGAUUUUAGAGCAAUCCCCAAAUUGCUGCUGCAGUACGGGUGUGACAAGGGGAGCACAGGAGCAGAAUCACCCUGUGCCCACCCCUUUGUUCUUCUCUAAAUAUCUGUCAUUGGCUUCCCUAAAUAUCUGUCACAUGAGACAACACAAAGACAGUGGAGCAGAGAGGCCUUUUGCAUCAACCUGUAUUGCAGAUUUAUUAUUUUAUUGAUUAUCAUUGGGAUAAAUAAAUUGUAAACUGACUAAAGAACAGUCUUACAAGGAGAUUGUGGCACGUAAUACAAAAGGGAGAAUUAUCCCAAUGGAGACCAGAUGUUUCUUGUUGUCCUCAAAUUUGCUUUUGGGACUGAUUCUGUUAUUGCUGGGAUUAGCAACCUAAGGGGAAAAAAAAAAAAAAAAAAAAAAAAAAAGAGCUAGGAAUACAAUUUGUGUCAUUUAAAAAAAUAAAGGCGAGAUGAAUCCUGCAGCCAGCCCGUGGCCAUCAGCAAACAGAGGUGUCUGUGCCCAAACUGAUCAACAUCCUCAUUACAGAGAGCAGGGAGCACUCCUUGGGAGGUUCCACUGCUCCUCCUGGGGGAUCAGCUGAGCCCUGGGAUUACAUGUUUGCUUCACUGACCAAAAGAGAAUCUGUCUAAGACCUUGCAAUUCCCAACACAGAAGUUUUAAUUUGAAGAGAAUAAUCCUGCUUUGAAUGCGCCUCUUACGUACAUGGCACACAAAAUCUGGGAAUAUUGGCAUUACAGAGGAGAGAUUUUUCUGCCUAACUGAAAAUGUGAGCUGGCCUGACAGAGUUGUAAGAACAGCAUUACAUUUUAAAGAAGGUUAAAAGCACCAGAUGCCUAAAGCUCUGUGAGGUCACAGGUAGGUGCCAGUUGCAGGGAGAAGAUCAGAACUAAGUUGAGGGCCAGUGUUUGUCUGUGGGGCGGCUGGGAGCUGCCAAAUGCUGUGACAUAAAAAAUGAGGUUAUUCUAGGGAAAAAUCAGCACCACAGGCAACACCAGUGUGUUUUGUAAAUGCCAUGGUGCACAGGUAUGGUAAGAAAAAGGGGAAGGUGAAAUAGGUGGGAUUUCUAUUGGGAUUUCCAAGGUAGUUAAGAUAAUCUCCUUCAAGAAAAGAAAGCUGGUGUUGUGUAGUGUACCAGACUGAAGAGCUAGAGGGGAUGCAGUGAUACUUUACCUUUGUAAGGAUAAAGAAAAUCAUAUGACUUUAGUAACUCAUAAUCGAGGGGGAAAAGUGACAAUCCAAGGACAGGUUCCUUCAGAGUGUGUCUGGACCUCACCUCCACAGAGGGCAGUGUGAGCAAAGGAAACCCACGGGCUGAAAUGGAGCCUUCCAAAGUGCCAGGAAGAACUGCAGGAGAGAAGAGGAACAUUUCUGGCACGAGAAGGCUUGGAGUGAGUCCUGCAUAGCUGAUGUGUUGGUGUUUGAGGAGGUCUGGGAGGAGCCCUCUUUGCCUGCUCUGUGACAUCCCUGCCCUGGGGGAGCUGCUGGGCACCAGUGGGAGCCAAGGGGAAAAUAGCUGCUGACUGGUGCCCAGCAGGUUUUCUGGAGGUUUUAAUGCCUUCUCUAAUCUAAAGCAGCAGAAAUUGGCUCCAGGUGGAGGCAGUGUGUGAGGAGGCUGCUCAGCCACUGCUGACAUUAUUACAGCUGCUCAAGAUCUAAUUGCAUGGGAAGGAUCCAUUGCAGAAAAGCACUUGUGAACUCCUCCUAACAAGUCCCUGGUAUUUGGCUUUCAGGAUGCAAUAGGUCUGGCCAUAGGAGCUUACAGAUUUAUUCCUGUUCCUCACAAGAACUCUUGCUCCCUUCCUGUGGUACAUGAUAGCUGUGAUUUCUGUGGUGGUGAUUGCUUUAUUGCAGACAUUCAGGUUUUUAUAGCAUGUUGGGGAUAUUUUGUGUCUGCGGUGCUCUGGGAGUUUCGGAUUUUAGGUCCUCCUGAUCCUGCUGGGCACACUCGCUGUGUGAACAUCUAUCAUCCAUAAAACAUGGACAUAAAGGCCCUGCAGGCUGAGCCUCAUCACUGAGCAAAGUCAGGGACCAGGCAGCUAACUACUCCUUAUUAGAUAUGUUGCUGCUCCUCAUGAGUGUUUGGAUGUGUCUGUUCUCAGCCAUUUAACCCAGUAGCCUCAAAGGAAACAUCUGAGGAGUUCUGGUAGCUCCUUGCAAAUGGGAUAAACUUCAAAGUGCUGGAAGAUUAACACACAGGUCCCAGAUUUCAAAGGGAACUGAGAUGCCUUACCCCAGUGUCAGUGCAAAAUAUGAGCAGAUGCUUUCAGGGCUGAGGAAAUGCAUAAGGGAUGGAAGAUCAAUCACCAUGGUAUCCCCGUGGGUUUUAAAUUACACCAGACUCAAUCCUAAUGUUAAAACUUUCCUUGUGUGGGGUUAGGAGAACUGGCUGGCUGGCAGAUCUCACAACUGGGAUGUACAGGUUGUUGUGGUUUAACAGCUGGUAAUUAAGUGCUGCUCAGCCCCUCGCUCACUCCUGCCCCAAAAGGCUGGGGAGCAGAGCCAGAGAAAGGCAACAUCAGUAGGUUGAGAAAAGAACACCUUAAUCAUUGCAAUAAAGUAAAAUACAACAA